UUUUGGACAAUGGGGGCAACCCUGAUCCAGCAAUGCCGCGUGAGUGAAGAAGGCCUUCGGGUUGUAAAGCUCUUUUGUCACGGCCCCAAACACCGGCUCUAACACAGUCCGGGAAUGACGGUACCUGAAGAAUAAGCACCGGCUAACUACGUGCCAGCAGCCGCGGUAAUACGUAGGGUGCAAGCGUUAAUCGGAAUUACUGGGCGUAAAGCGUGCGCAGGCGGUUAUACAAGACAGGCGUGAAAUCCCCGGGCUUAACCUGGGAAUGGCGCCUGUGACUGUAUAGCUAGAGUGUGUCAGAGGGGGGUAGAAUUCCACGUGUAGCAGUGAAAUGCGUAGAUAUGUGGAGGAAUACCAAUGGCGAAGGCAGCCCCCUGGGAUAACACUGACGCUCAUGCACGAA
rnacentral:rRNA from 1 species